rnacentral:rRNA from 1 species
UACGUAGGGUGCAAGCGUUGUCCGGAAUUAUUGGGCGUAAAGAGCUCGUAGGCGGUCUGUCGCGUCUGCUGUGAAAACUCAGGGCUUAACCCUGAGCUUGCAGUGGGUACGGGCAGACUAGAGUGCGGUAGGGGAGACUGGAAUUCUUGGUGUAGCAGUGAAAUGCGUAGAUAUCAGGAGGAACACCAGUGGCGAAGGCGGAUUCCUGGAAAGAUACUGACUCUGAAACACGAAAGCCAGGGGAGCAAACGGG